rnacentral:rRNA from 1 species
UGGAGCUGAAAUCAGUCGAAGAUACCAGCUGGCUGCAACUGUUUAUUAAAAACACAGCACUGUGCAAACACGAAAGUGGACGUAUACGGUGUGACGCCUGCCCGGUGCCGGAAGGUUAAUUGAUGGGGUUAUCCUCGCGGAGAAGCUCUUGAUCGAAGCCCCGGUAAACGGCGGCCGUAACUAUAACGGUCCUAAGGUAGCGAAAUUCCUUGUCGGGUAAGUUCCGACCUGCACGAAUGGCGUAAUGAUGGCCAGGCUGUCUCCACCCGAGACUCAGUGAAAUUGAACUCGCUGUGAAGAUGCAGUGUACCCGCGGCAAGACGGAAAGACCCCGUGAACCUUUACUAUAGCUUGACACUGAACACUGGUCCUUGAUGUGUAGGAUAGGUGGGAGGCUUUGAAGUGUGGACGCCAGUCUGCAUGGAGCCAUCCUUGAAAUACCACCCUUUAAUGGCUGGUGUUCUAACGUGGGCCCCUGAUCGGGGUUGCGGACAGUGUCUGGUGGGUAGUUUGACUGGGGCGGUCUCCUCCUAAAGAGUAACGGAGGAGCACGAAGGUCAGCUAAUCCUGGUCGGACAUCAGGAGGUUAGUGCAAUGGCAUAAGCUGGCUUGACUGCGAGCGUGACGGCGCGAGCAGGUGCGAAAGCAGGUCAUAGUGAUCCGGUGGUUCUGAAUGGAAGGGCCAUCGCUCAACGGAUAAAAGGUACUCCGGGGAUAACAGGCUGAUACCGCCCAAGAGUUCAUAUCGACGGCGGUGUUUGGCACCUCGAUGUCGGCUCAUCACAUCCUGGGGCUGAAGUAGGUCCCAAGGGUAUGGCUGUUCGCCAUUUAAAGUGGUACGCGAGCUGGGUUUAGAACGUCGUGAGACAGUUCGGUCCCUAUCUGCCGUGGGCGCUGGAGAAUUGAGGGGGGCUGCUCCUAGUACGAGAGGACCGGAGUGGACGCAUCACUGGUGUUCGGGUUGUCAUGCCAAUGGCAUUGCCCGGUAGCUAAAUGCGGAAGAGAUAAGUGCUGAAAGCAUCUAAGCACGAAACUUGCCCCGAGAUGAGUUCUCCCUGACCCUUUAAGGGUCCUGAAGGAACGUUGAAGACGACGACGUUGAUAGGCCGGGUGUGUAAGCGCAGCGAUGCGUUGAGCUAACCGGUACUAAUGAACCGUGAGGCUUAACCUUACAACGCCGAAG